rnacentral:rRNA from 1 species
UACAGAGGUCCCAAGCGUUGUUCGGAUUCACUGGGCGUAAAGGGUGCGUAGGUGGCGGGGUAAGUUUGAUGUGAAAUCUCCGGGCUUAACCCGGAAACUGCAUUGAAUACUAUUCUGCUCGAGGAUUGGAGGGGAGACUGGAAUACUUGGUGUAGCAGUGAAAUGCGUAGAUAUCAAGUGGAACACCAGUGGCGAAGGCGAGUCUCUGGACAAUUCCUGACACUGAGGCACGAAAGCUAGGGGAGCAAACAGG